ACGGUGAUAUCACGUUGAAACAUCGUUUCCCGUACGAUCACCGAAUUUAAGCAACGUCCGGUCUGGCCAGUACCUAGAUGGGUGACCAUGUUGUAAUACCAGAUGCUGUAAG